GUGACAACAUAAACAUGUCAGUCUGAACUGUAACACACGAGUUUUUAUCUUAAAGGGUCGAAACCACAACGAAAGAUUACCUAAAAGAACUCAAAAAGAAGAGACGAAAAGAGAUGAUAAUGCAAGACUACAAUUUACAAAGAAAGAGCAACGAAACGUCACUCCUCAAAACAUGGACGACAAGACUUGUAGUGCACUCCCGUCCAGGAGCCGUGAUGCAUAAUUUAAGCCCCAAGCGAC
rnacentral:misc_RNA from 1 species